AGAUUUAUAGUUUAAUUAAAAUAUUAAUUUUGUAAAUUAAAGAUAUUUAUAAUAUAAAUUAAAUCUA
rnacentral:tRNA from 1 species